UCAGCGUGGUGUUCGGAGGGCGACCCCUUU
rnacentral:piRNA from 1 species